AUUAUUUACAGAUCCAAAUCGCACCUCACUCCUCACCCUCCCUCCUCACUCAUUCAUUUCGCACCACCGUCCAUUCUCUCUCACUGUUCCGCCACCGUCCUCCACCACCGUUCUCCAACACCGUUAUCCGCCGUCGCCGUUCUCCGCUCUUUGGCAACCGUCCCUCUCCCUCGGCACCAUCGUUCUCCGCCACCUCCGAUCUAUUCGAUCUCCGCCAUCGUUCUUCGCCGUCGCUGUUCUCCGCUCUUUGGCAACGCGAUUUUAUUUCAAUCAUCUUUGUUUUCUUCGAUUGUAAAUCUGAGAUAACUCUUUACUUUGAUUUCAAAUCUGAAUAUCAUUGAUCUCUUCACUUUGAUUUCAAAUAUGAAAAUCUAGGGUUGUGUGUAGUCUGAUUUUUGUUAAUUUUUGCAGAAUCUGAAGAAGUGAUGGAAUCUGAAGUUGAUUCCAUCUAAAGUUCCUCUUCAAUUAGUAUUACCAUCUCUCUAUACUUUCAGAAUCUAGUUCUUCCUAUUUGUUGAUUGAUAUUGUUUGUGUUCACUCUACUCUUUUGAUGUUAUUGCCUUGCUUCUUUUGCUUGUUGCAGUGUCUUGUUUGGUUCUUUUCUGUCACUGUAAGUGUUUUUGAGCUGCAUGUUUGUUGAUGAUCAAGUUUAAAUGUUAACAUUGCCAUUGUUGCUCUUGCUGUUGCCUAAUUUGGAACUAGAUUAGGUUUUGAUGAGGCAUCUUAAGGGUUUUCCUUUUGCGUAAUCCAUGAUAUCAUAAGAUUAUAAACUAAGGAAGAAAAUUCUUCUGAUUUGACCAAAAGAACCUGUCAAUCUGUCAAGGUGGGGAUUAUAAGAAAGUUACUAACUGGUUAAAUUGCUUUGUAGGCCCUGAUUGUAUCAUUAGAUUUUCAAGUUGGUUCUUGUAGUUUGAAUGGUUUUAACAAAAUUAUUGUACUUCUUUUCUGGUUGAAUUGCUUUGUCUUGUUUGGUUCUUUUCUUUCACUGCAAAUACUUUUAGUUGCUUCUGUAGUUUCUAAGUAUGGAUUUUAAAUACUAGAUAAGAUUUUAUUGUGUGUAGUAAAAUCAUAAUGACACCUUCACACUUGAUAAAGUUCACCUACUUAAUCAUAUUUUUGUCCCCCUAUAGGCGUGUGUUUAGCAGAGAUCAUGUGGUUCCCAAUUAUUCAUCUUGCAAUUGCAAACACUCAUGAGGAUUGGCAUAAAAAUAGUCUUCUUCUUUAGGUCUAUCUGAUAUGACAACUCUACCUUUCGUGUAAAUUCCCUUUAGUGCAGUUAUAGCUGGUUAUUUCCAACCUAAUUGUUUGCUUGCUGUUUUUCAGGUUCCUGCAGAGUAUUGUUUGAUCAGAUUAGUUUCUUUGAUUGAAAGCGGUCAAAAUAUCAUUGGUUGACUCUAGAAACUUGGAGGAGCUUAAAAGAGAUGAGUUGCUGUCAAGAUCACUUGUAGAAAAUAAACAUGGGGAAUAAAACACAAACUCUGAGUGAACUUUGGUCUGUGUUCUGCUUCAUGUUUAAUUGUAGUUUCUUCAAGGGCAAUGGAUGAGACCAUGUUGCUUGAUAUGUGUUCCGGUCUAAAUCUCCGGUUAGGGCUAAGCAAUUAGGCAAUAAAAGUAGAACAAGGCAAAGUAACAAAAUGAGUAAAAAGUAUUGGAUCCCCCACCGCAUGGGCGGUGUUUCCUUUAUAUAUUAUGAAGUUUUGACC